rnacentral:rRNA from 1 species
CCUACGUGGCUGCAGUGAGGAAUAUUUGUCAAUAUGCGCGAGCCUGAACCAGCCAAGUAGCGUGAAGGAGAACUGCCCUAUCGGUUGGUAACGUCCUUUAUAAAGGAAUAAAGUGAGGCACGCGGGCCUGUUUGUAUGUACUUUAUGAAUAAGGAUCGGCUAACUCCUUGCUAGCAGCCGCGGUAAUACGAAGGAUCCGAGCGUUAUCCGGUUUUAUUGGUUGUAAAGGGAGCGUAGGUGGGUUGGUAAGUCAGUUGUGAAAGUUUGCGGCCCAACCGUAGAAUUGCAAUUGAUAUUGGCAGCAUUGAGUACAGUUGAGGUAGGCGGAAUUCGUGGUGUAGCGGGGAAAUGCUUAGAUAUCACGAAGAACACCGAUUGCGAAGGCAGCUUACUAGACUGUAACUGACACUGAUGCUCGAAAGUGUGGGUAUCAAACAGGAUUAGAUACCCCUGUAGUC